AUCUCCAAAUCAUUUAAGGAGGGUCAUGACAAUGAAUUUGAAUGAAAUAUAAAAGGACAAGACCAAGUAGAUCAUUUAAGGAGGGUCUUGACAAUGGAUUUAACGUUGAGCUUCUUAAGGUCUGUGUAGGACUGUCCACAGCCAACAAACAUCACAG